rnacentral:rRNA from 1 species
AAGACCUUGCGCUUUUGGAGCGGCCGAUGUCUGAUUAGCUUGUUGGUGAGGUAAAAGCUUACCAAGGCUUCGAUCAGUAGCUGGUCUGAGAGGACGACCAGCCACACUGGGACUGAGACACGGCCCAGACUCCUACGGGAGGCAGCAGUGGGGAAUUUUGGACAAUGGGGGCAACCCUGAUCCAGCCAUACCGCGUGAGUGAAGAAGGCCUUCGGGUUGUAAAGCUCUUUCAGCCGGAACGAAACGGUUACGGUUAAUACCCGUGACUACUGACGGUACCGGAAGAAGAAGCACCGGCUAACUACGUGCCAGCAGCCGCGGUAAUACGUAGGGUGCGAGCGUUAAUCGGAAUUACUGGGCGUAAAGCGUGCGCAGGUGGUUUUGUAAGUCAGAUGUGAAAUCCCCGGGCUCAACCUGGGAACU